rnacentral:misc_RNA from 1 species
CAGUGCCCAGCGGGUCUUACCCGCUGACCGGCCACCCGUGUCUACCUUACCUUCUGUUGCUUCGGCGGGCCCGUCCCCCUUUAACCUGGGGAGACCGCCGGGGGAGGCGUACCCACGCGCCCCUGGCCCGCGCCCGCCGAGGGACCCCUUGAACUCUUGUGAAGUUGGUGUUGUCUGAGUGCAAUAUUUUAAUGACACA